GAUGAACGCUAGCUACAGGCUUAACACAUGCAAGUCGAGGGGAAACGAUAUUGGAAGCUUGCUUCCGAUAGGCGUCGACCGGCGCACGGGUGAGUAACGCGUAUCCAACCUGCCCACCACUUGGGGAUAACCUUGCGAAAGUAAGACUAAUACCCGAUGAUAUCUCUAGACGACAUCUGAAAGGGAUUAAAGAUUUAUCGGUGAUGGAUGGGGAUGCGUCUGAUUAGCUUGUUGGCGGGUAACGGCCCACCAAGGCAACGAUCAGUAGGGGUUCUGAGAGGAAGGUCCCCCACAUUGGAACUGAGACACGGUCCAAACUCCUACGGGAGGCAGCAGUGAGGAAUAUUGGUCAAUGGACGAGAGUCUGAACCAGCCAAGUUAGCGUGCAGGAUGACGGCCCUAUGGGUUGUAAACUGCUUUUAUAAGGGAUAAAGUGGGAUCGUGACUCCUUUUGCAUGUACCUUAUGAAUAAGGACCCGGCUAAUUCCGUGCCAGCAGCCACGGU
rnacentral:rRNA from 1 species